rnacentral:rRNA from 1 species
AUUGAACGCUGGCGGCAGGCUUAACACAUGCAAGUCGAGGGGUAUAUGUCUUCGGAUAUAGAGACCGGCGCACGGGUGCGUAACGCGUAUGCAAUCUGCCUUUCACAGAGGGAUAGCCCAGAGAAAUUUGGAUUAAUACCUCAUAGUAUAAUCAAGCCGCAUGGUUUAAUUAUUAAAGUCACAACGGUGAAAGAUGAGCAUGCGUCCCAUUAGCUAGUUGGUAAGGUAACGGCUUACCAAGGCAACGAUGGGUAGGGGUCCUGAGAGGGAGAUCCCCCACACUGGUACUGAGACACGGACCAGACUCCUACGGGAGGCAGCAGUGAGGAAUAUUGGACAAUGGGCGCAAGCCUGAUCCAGCCAUGCCGCGUGCAGGAUGACGGUCCUAUGGAUUGUAAACUGCUUUUGUACGAGAAGAAACAUCCCGACGUGUCGGGACUUGACGGUAUCGUAAGAAUAAGGAUCGGCUAACUCCGUGCCAGCAGCCGCCGUAAUAC